UACGAGGGGGGCGAGCGUUGUUCGGAAAUAUUGGGCGUAAAGGGUGCGUAGGCGGUUUGGUAAGUCUGAUGUGAAAUCUAUGGGCUCAACUCAUAGUCUGCAUCGGAAACUGCCGGGCUUGAGUGUGGGAGAGGUGAGUGGAAUUCCUGGUGUAGCGGUGAAAUGCGUAGAUAUCAGGAGGAACACCUGUGGCGAAAGCGGCUCACUGGACCAUAACUGACGCUGAUGCACGAAAGCUAGGGGAGCAAACGGG
rnacentral:rRNA from 1 species